GACGAACGCUGGCGGCGUGCCUAAUACAUGCAAGUAGAACGCUGAAGAGAGGAGCUUACUCUUCUUGGAUGAGUUGCGAACGGGUGAGUAACGCGUAGGUAACCUGCCUUGUAGCGGGGGAUAACUAUUGGAAACGAUAGCUAAUACCGCAUAACAAUGGAUGACACAUGUCAUUUAUUUGAAAGGGGCAAUUGCUCCACUACAAGAUGGACCUGCGUUGUAUUAGCUAGUAGGUGAGGUAAUGGCUCACCUAGGCGACGAUACAUAGCCGACCUGGGAGGGUGAUCGGCCACACUGGGACUGAGACACGGCCCAGACUCCUACGGGAGGCAGCAGUAGGGAAUCUUCGGCAAUGGGGGCAACCCUGACCGAGCAACGCCGCGUGAGUGAAGAAGGUUUUCGGAUCGUAAAGCUCUGUUGUAAGUCAAGAACGGGUGUGAGAGUGGAAAGUUCACACUGUGACGGUAGCUUACCAGAAAGGGACGGCUAACUACGUG
rnacentral:rRNA from 1 species